AUUGAACGCUGGCGGCAGGCCUAACACAUGCAAGUCGAGCGGAUGAAGGGAGCUUGCUCCUGGAUUCAGCGGCGGACGGGUGAGUAAUGCCUAGGAAUCUGCCUGGUAGUGGGGGAUAACGUCCGGAAACGGGCGCUAAUACCGCAUACGUCCUGAGGGAGAAAGUGGGGGAUCUUCGGACCUCAGGCUAUCAGAUGAGCCUAGGUCGGAUUAGCUAGUUGGUGGGGUAAAGGCCUACCAAGGCGACGAUCCGUAACUGGUCCGAGAGGAUGAUCAGUCACACUGGAACUGAGACACGGUCCAGACUCCUACGGGAGGCAGCAGUGGGGAAUAUUGGACAAUGGGCGAAAGCCUGAUCCAGCCAUGCCGCGUGUGUGAAGAAGGUCUUCGGAUUGUAAAGCACUUUAAGUUGGGAGGAAGGGCAGUAAGUUAAUACCUUGCUGUUUUGACGUUACCAACAGAAUAAGCACCGGCUAACUUCGUG
rnacentral:rRNA from 1 species